UGGCGCGUGACUUCAGCAGCUACCUGAUAAUUCUCAUCGCCAUAAUAUUUCUCAUAUUGCUAUGGAAAGCUGUAACUUUGUUAUUCAGCGAAUCACAAAUUCCAAGCCCUAGGGGAAAUUGGUUACUUGGGCAACUAUUUGAACUCAGGAAAAGUAAGGAUGUGAUGCAAACUUUCGUCGAAUGGGGAAAAAUCUACGGACCGAUUGUUCAAUUUCGACCUCUGGGAAUAUUUG